rnacentral:rRNA from 1 species
UCGCCCUACGGGGGGCAGCAGUGAGGAAUACUGGUCAAUGGCCGGAAGGCUGAACCAGCCAAGUCGCGUGAGGGACGACUGCCCUAUGGGUUGUAAACCUCUUUUAUAAGGGAAGAAUAAAUGCUACGUGUAGCAUGAUGCCUGUACCUUAUGAAUAAGCAUCGGCUAACUCCGUGCCAGCAGCCGCGGUAAUACGGAGGAUGCGAGCGUUAUCCGGAUUUAUUGGGUUUAAAGGGUGCGUAGGCGGUUUGUUAAGUUAGUGGUUAAACUUCGGGGCUUAACCUUUAUUUGCCCUU